rnacentral:lncRNA from 1 species
CGCUAUUACUGAAAUUUUCGGUCCCAACUCACUCCUUAAAUAAAUUAACCACACUGUUUGUACCCUUGAUUCUGAAAGGCAGCCACUCAUCUACAGACAGGGAUUUCAAGCCUAUUUCAUGCUGCAACGUGGUUUAGAAGGCUAUUGCUAAAAUCUUAUCCAAUAGAUAUUGACUAUUCUUGGUUCUAUCAUUGACCAAUCGUGGGCAGCCUUGUGGUGGGGAGUAUCUUGGUUGAAAAUGCCCACCUUGCACAAGAACUAUUGAGGGAAUACAAUUGGAAGAGAGUAUUGCCUAGAUGCCUCCUUAAUGUCGAUCUUUGAAAGGUAUAUGAUUCCAUCAUUUCGGAAUUUCUAAAUUCUGUUUUAGAGGGACUGGGAUUUUCGUACAGAUUUAUUCAGUGGGUGAUUGUAUACAUAUCAACACCCUCAUUCUUAAUUGUAAUUAAUGGUAGCACGCAUGGGUUCUUCAAAGGUAAAAGGGCCAUACGCUAAGGUGAUCCCUUCAAAUAAAUAAUUAUUAUUUGAAGUUUGGGCUCUUGAAAAUCACACAUCUAGUCUUUGUGGAUAACUUGAUGUUGUUUUCUAAAGGCGACGAUAUUUCGGUGCGCAUAAUGAUCCAUUGUUUGUCCAUGUUUGGUAAUUGCUUGGGACUUAGGAUGAAUGCAAAUAAAUCCAAAAUACUGCUAGAAUUCGGGGCAAAGACUUGGAUGAAAUCCUAGAGUUAGUGGACAGCCGAGAGGGUCCAUGUUCAGAUAUUUGGGAUUCCAUUAGGUGGAGAAAAAUUGAAAGUCAGCCACCAUGCUCAUUUUUUUGGAUAAAAAAUUGCUACUUAUAUACAUGCCUGGACAAGCACUUCAUUAUCUUAUGCCAACAUGGCUCAAUUGGUGAGAUCGGCCUUUCAAGGAGUUGAAUACUUUUGAUUAUCCAUAUUUUCGAUUCCACACAUGGUCACUUUGAGGAUUAUAUGGCUUUGUAGGAAUUUCCUUUGGAAUUCCAAAAAAUCGCUAGUUGCAUGGCUGACGUUAGUCUUCUCAAAAGCAAGGGAGGAUUGGGAUUUUGGAGACUAGAGUGUUGGAAUAAUGCACUAUUAGCCAAGUCAUUGUGGAACAUACAUGCCAAGAAAGACACUUUGAUGCGGUGGGUCAAUCAUGUGUAUUUGAGAGAGGCAUCAAUAUGGGAAUGGUAAUCCAAGAAGGAUGAUUCACCAUUACUCAAAAAUAAUGUCCAUUGCAGAGUGCAUUAAGCACAUCGAAGGAUCAACUCAUGCUGCCUAUCAAAAACUUUUAGAUUGGAUCCAUUGGGAUGAUAUAAGCAUUGCUAAAACUUAGGAUUAUUUCCGACCGAAGAGGAUACCAACGAUUUGGGCAAAGGUUGUUUCGAGUACAUGCACCACUCAUAAACAUUCAUUUUAUCGUUUGGCUUAGUGCAAAAACUAAGCACCUUACCGAAGAUCGUCUACAACAUAUGGAGAUUGACAAUAAGUGUGUAUUCUAUCAAGUUGAGACCGAAUCAGUCUAGCACCUUUUUCUUUCAAUGUGGCAUUAGCAUGGAAAUUUGGGGACAAAUCAGAGAUUGGCUCAGGAUCACUGGAGCCAUAUCUACUAUACCCAGUGCAUUGAAAGGAAUCAAGAAAGAGGAACGUGGAACAUCUUGGAAUGUAAGGCCAAGAAAAUAGCGGUGGCAAGCACUGCUUAUCAUAUCUAAGUAGCUAGAAACAUUCUGAUCUUUGAAGAUCUUAGACUGCAUUCCAAUAGCAUCGUCAGAUGAAUCAAAAUACAAGUAUACUAAGUUAUGUUCUAAUUGUAUCAUCAUGUUUUGUAUCAUUAUGAAUCUUUAGCGUUGGGCAUUUAGAUUGAUAUCAUUGAUACAUCUUUGGAUCUUGUAAUCCCGAAGUACUUGUUCACAAUUUUUGUUCUAUACAAAUUUUAUUUAUCGAUAAAAAAAA